rnacentral:snRNA from 1 species
UUGCUUCAACAGCACAUAUACUAAAACUGGAACGAUACAGAGUAGAUUAUCAUGGCCCUUGUGCAAGGAUGACAUGCAAAUCUAUAAAGUGUUCCAUAUUUUU